ensembl:lncRNA
CUACAUAGCUGAGUAAUGUCUACACAGUAUGUUCUAAACAAGAGGCACUGUGGUACUUGUUCUAAAUAAGAGCACCAACUCUGCAAUCAGCCAGUCCCAGCUCUGCAACUCAUGGCCUGUGUGACCUUGGACAAUGGCCAUUCACUUCAAUGUAAUGCCGUGCCGCAAAAGAAAAGCAACAACAACAUCGCAGGUUUCCUUCAGAUCACAAUCUGAAAGCAGCUCUAGAGAAGACCUUACUGUGAGCAGUGACAGUCCAUUUACAACAUAUUCUUCCAGUGCCUACUCCACUAUCAGCUUGAUAUCUUGUGAAGGUAGAAGAAAUACUUGAAUUGCUGUUUGGUAAAUAACACAGCUGGCAUUCCACCAAGAAUGGAUGAAGCUAACUGCUGUGGUGUCAUGGAAACCUAAUAGAAAUAUCAGGAAGUGAAAGGAAGUGUUGAAGAAAGCAUCAUAGAAAGCCUGCUACCAACUGAGUUCCAGAGAUACUAGAAACAGCCUUUUCUACUUUCCUGUUUUUAGAGAGAGAAUCUUCCUAUUCAUGCUUGGAAGACUGCAGCUAUUCUAUACUGAUAACUAAGAAACAACUUGGAGAUAGUCACUUGCUCCAGUUGAAUUGAAUUGUCCAGUUUGGAUGGCUGAGGAAAUGAAGCUCACCUUUAAAAAUGUAUGUUUGCAAUACAUAUUAAAUACAUGCAUCAUGGGGAAUUGGUGCAAUAUAUAUAUAUUGCAUCUCAAUAGUUUUAUUCUCCUCCCCCUCCUCUACCUCCCAUCUCCCCCAUUCCCAGAACCCCUUUCCAUCUCCACAAAGUCUAUCUCCCGGUCCAACCUCCACAUCAAGUCUCACCAGCUUUAUGUUAUAAACAUACCCUGAAUCCACUUCUUAUCACCUCUGUGUCUAAGCUACAGUCUUUAUCAUCCUCCCAGACAAAGACCUCUCUUACAUGCUUUUAUACACUUAUCUUACUUCAUUUGUGUGAUUUCUUUGUUUGUUCUUUUAUUAGUUUCUUUACUUAUUUAUUCAGGCUCUACCUUGGGCCAGGCUGUUCCAGCCAAUAAGUGACACAACAAUGACAAAAUAAGGUCCCUGCUCCCAUGAAGCUGACAUUUGAACACGCACAAACAGGUAUCAGUGAAUAAAGUACAAGAAUAGCACCUACUGUCUAGUUGGGAUGACAGACACUCAAUCCAAUAGCCCUGCAGUGCACAGCAUGAGCUUUAAACACAAAUCGGACCUGGUCAGUCUCUGCUGAAAACAUUUCAAUGGCUUCCUGUUGCCCUUAGAAUAAAAUACAAGUUAUAAACACGACCUAACCAUGUUGAACCAUAGAAGAUAUUUUGGCAUGAAAAUAUCAUUAGUGAACAAAUAAGGUAUCAGUUCUACUUUUUGAAAAUCAAACGAAUUCUCCCCAGGAUGGGUGCCUUCCCCAUUCCCUUUAUUUUCAACAUGUUCUCUAGAGGAGCUGGGGAUGCAUUUUCUUUUGUACUAACAUUUUUUAUUUUCAUUUUUUAAAAGGUUGGUUUCCUUUUGAUUAUCAGACCUUUUCCUGGAAAAUUGCUAAUUGUCAAAUAAUUUGACCUCUCUGAGCCUCAAUUUUCUCAUCUGUAAAGUGAGGAUGUCAUACUUUAUCACAUGUGUUUGCUUUGGAGAUUAAAAGACCUAAAAUGCACAAUUCCUGCCACAAAACGAAUGUUUAAUUAGUUGUUCUUCCCUAUGAACAAAUGAAAUAGCACUCAUUUUUUAUUGCUAUAAACAAACUUCUUCAUAUGGGAAGGAAAGACUGUCACUGAAGUAGGAACAACUUAAUUAUUUACUGCAUAGCAGGGUAAUGGUUGUGGCCAGGAGGAUGCUGCAGCCCGGAUUGCUGGUAGCCUGUCACAGUGACAGCCCACACUGAGGCUUGCUCCAAAGCAGGUAUUUUUGUGCAGUUAGCCUUCCCUUCUCUGGGCCAGUGAUUAUGCAACGUAUUUGUUCCCUGAGCAGACAUUGUUCUGCAGCCAGCAUGGUCACUAAAAAUCCUACCCACUUUAGAGCCUUCCUAUUGGUAAAUACCAGGCAUUGUCACUGAGAAUGCUUCUGGCUGUGCAGAGUUUCUGAAUAGCUGCUGAGGUAAUAAUUCAUCUCUGUCUUACGUGGUCUUCUCAAUGUAGAGAUGUCUCCAUCCGACCCCACCCUUUAUGUCCUCCAGCUGCCUCACUGCUGCAAACCCCCUUUUGUCACUUUAUUGACUUCUGAUAAUAAUUGUAAAACAGAAACAGGAGAGAGAGAUUAAGAGACAUAGAAAAGAGGUAGGGGAGGAGAGAAUUUCUAGCAAGAAUAAAUAAUAUAAUACAGAUCAUUAGCUAUUGUACCUUCUCCCUACGUCCCAAUAACAGUAUAACUGUGUUUGAAGUUGGGUAUGGCCUUCUGAAUCUUUUGUAUAUUCCCCUAGACAUAUUAAAUGGUUUAGAGCAAAGGCCAUGGGAUAAGACUUCCAUGCUUAAAUCUUAGCUCUCAUUUAGUAGCUAUGGAGCUGAAGGGAAUUCAUUUUUGGCUUCUCUGUCUCAGUUUCCUCACCUAUAAAAUAAUGGAAAUCUUCCCGGAGUACUGUACAGUAUUGUGAGGAUUAAUGAGUGAGCUAAUAAAUGACUGAUAAAACAUGAAUGAGGGGAGAGGGGAGGGGAAGGAGGGUAAACAGGUUAAAGAUAUAUCAUGUACAUGUACCAAAUAACCACAAUGAAUGUAAACAUGUCAUAAACAUGAACUAAAAAAAAGAUAAUAAUGAUGAAAAUGGGGAAAGGGGAUCUAGAGAGGAAGAGAUGUGGGUGAGGAAGGCAAGGGUAAUAAAAAAAUCAAGAUGUGUUAUGUACAUGUACCUACUCCCUAAGAUGAAUGAAACUUCAUGUAUUGUAAAUGCACUAAUAAAAUAAAAUUUUAAAAAACCACAAACAA